rnacentral:sRNA from 1 species
GCACUGGCUAACCUCGGACUUUCGAUGUGCUUUUUGCCUUGAUGCUUUGCUUUUCUAUGUGCAUCUGCUUCUGUUAACCUUCCAUCAACCUGGAGGUUUCACCAUCCCAGGGAGGUGUCAGUCUUUCUCAGUCCACCCCGUCAUUAUCCCCAGGAUGGUCUGAAAGGAGGGGUCCCUUUGGGAACUUCUCAGGAGGGAGACCUGGGCCAAGGGCUCGGCCAGCAUCUCCCUGGCAAUUCCAAGGCCCAGGGUGGACUUCUGGAAGGAGCAUGAUUCCCGAGGCCAUGCUACUGAACUGCCAGGGGUAUCCCCACCUCUUCCAGAUCUCCUCGUCCUUUCUGGGGAACUGGGAUCGAGAAAAGCAACCUCCCAGGGUGUUGUGAGUGUUGGUCCGAUUCUGGGAAGCUGGUAAGGCCAGGCAUAGAAGAGGCGGUCAGUAAAUGUUUUUCCCAAACAGGUUGGUCGACCACGUCCCCCUCGCCCCCCUCACCUGUCUCACGCUUCUCGUUUAUUCUCCCACAGCGCUCCGGACAACCCCAGUCCGCAGGGCUCUCGGUGUACCAGGUAGGGGCCAUACUCAGCCAGGGCUCGGGCUGACCUGAGUCAGGACAUGCACGGGGCGUGUGGUCAUUUCCAGAGCGCUUUGUAUGUUCUGUGCCUAUGUUAUUGCUAUGUCAGAUGUCCGUGUGAGCGAGGCCGCCUCGUUUACAAAUGAGAAUGAAUGUGGCCUCCAUUUGAGUAAUUUUAAAAGGUGGAGGGCACAAAAAAAAAAAAAAAAAAAAAAAA